rfam:Camelus ferus unplaced genomic scaffold scaffold1451, whole genome shotgun sequence.
GGGAGGGUCCAGCUCAGUGGUAGAGCGCGUGCUCAGCAUGCACGAGGUCCUGGGUUCAAUAUCCGGUACUUCCA